rnacentral:misc_RNA from 1 species
GUCACUGAAGCUCUCUACUCCUUCAUCAGAGGAGCAGUCGCCGACGGCGUCGACAACGUCCCAAUCUUCAGCUUUUCAGGCCAUGUCUGGUGGUGACAGCAUCAUAAGUGUUGCUUGAAGAAUAUAUGCAAUUAUGCAUAUAUGAUCAUACAUAAAAAUGGGGGGCGGGGGAUGUAAAGGUGUCGUUUAUUUCUUAUGGAAAUUGAAAAUUUGGGAUUAGCUAAUAAUUAAAAUGAGA